AUUGAACGCUGGCGGCAUGCCUUACACAUGCAAGUCGAACGGCAGCACGGGUGCUUGCACCUGGUGGCGAGUGGCGAACGGGUGAGUAAUAUAUCGGAACGUACCUUAUUGUGGGGGAUAACGCAGCGAAACCUGUGCAAAUAUCUCAUAAUCCCUAAGGGGGAAAGCGGGGGACCGUAAGGCCUCGCGCAAUUAGAGCGGCCGAUACCUGAUUAGCUAGUUGGUGAGGUAAAGACUCACCAAGGCAACGAUCAGUAGCUGGUCUGAGAGGACGAUCAGCCACACUGGGACUGAGACACGGCCCAGACUCCUACGGGAGGCAGCAGUGGGGAAUUUUGGACAAUGGGGGCAACCCUGAUCCAGCAAUGCCGCGUGAGUGAAGAAGGCCUUCGGGUUGUAAAGCUCUUUUGUCAGGGAAGAAACAGCAGCUCUAACACAGUUUGCGAAUGACGGUACCUGAAGAAUAAGCACCGGCUAACUACGUGCCAGCAGCCGCCGUAA
rnacentral:rRNA from 1 species